UUUACUGUUUAAACCGUUUGGAAUGUAGUAGAUCAGGAACUUGCCUUGUUGGUUUCAGUUACAACGGACAUCAUUACAUCAGAAAUUUUACUCGUCAUUAACCUCUAAAAAAAUUCAAACCUAGGAAAAUUCCCCAAAAACCUUCAAGAAGGCAGAAAUCAAAGAAUGAGGAUGGUCUUCAGUGAUGUUUUUACCUUACUCUGCCUCUUGGGUGUUAGUUAUUUAUCUUCUGUACUUGGAGGUGCUGGAGGUGUGAUUUGUAGAUUAUGCAACCUCUCAGUCCCCUUCCAUGGAUGUCUUUUGGAUUUUGGAACCUGCAGAACAAAACCUGGUCAGUACUGCAUAAAAGAGAU